GAUGAACGCUGGCGGUAUGCUUAACACACGCAAGUCGAACGGUCACUUCGGUGAUAGUGGCGGACGGGUGAGUAACGCGUGAGAAUCUGUCUUCAGGUCGGGGACAACAGUUAGAAAUGACUGCUAAUACCGGAUGUGCCUUUGGGUGAAAGAUUUAUUGCCUGAAAAAGAGCUCGCGUCAGAUUAGCUAGUAGGUGGUGUAAGAGACUACCUAGGCUCCGAUCUGUAGCUGGUCUGAGAGGACGAUCAGCCACACUGGAACUGAGACACGGUCCAGACUCCUACGGGAGGCAGCAGUGGGGAAUUUUCCGCAAUGGGCGAAAGCCUGACGGAGCAAUACCGCGUGAGGGACGAAGGCUUUUGGGUCGUAAACCUCUUUUCUCAAGGAAGAUGAUGACGGUACUUGAGGAAUAAGCAUCGGCUAACUCUGUG
rnacentral:rRNA from 1 species